rnacentral:tRNA from 1 species
UGGGGGUUUAGCUCAGCUGGGAGAGCACCUGCCCUGCAAGCAGGGGGUCGGGAGUUCAAUCCUCCCAACCUCCAU